CGGGAGACUCCCUGCUGUUCACUGAUUCACGCGAGUCGCAUGAAUUAUCCCGGAUUUUACACUCUGCGAGGUGGUGUCUUUUUAAUGCGAAUGAGAGCGAGCAGUUUGCAGGAUGGCUGGAAGAAUCGAGCUCUAAACAUCUGCAGGUUCUGCUCACACAAAAACGAGGCCCCAGAACCAGAUGGUGUGAAGACCUUAAACCAACCCUGAGGUGGAUUAGAAACGACAUUGUUUGGACCGAGAGAUGCAAACGAAGAUGACGCACCUGAAGUUUUUGGCUGGGUUCCUGCUGAUAGUCCUGGUGAUUGGAAUCUCGUACCACUGGAGCUGGUUCCACAGGUAACUUCAGUUCAUUCCUCAUGUCCGUCUUCUUUUCCUGCUGUCUGCCUUGACGUCUUCCCUCCUUUCCUUCUGGGUUUCUACAUUCCGAACUGUUUUUCUGUAUGAUUUG